rfam:Zootermopsis nevadensis contig6901, whole genome shotgun sequence.
GCCACGGUGGUCUAGCGGUUAGAACGCUGGCCUUGUAAUCCUGGGGUCUCGGGUUUGAUUCCCGGCGGUGCCC